rnacentral:rRNA from 1 species
CGCCUGCAUGAAGUCGGAAUUGCUAGUAAUCGCGGAUCAGCAUGCCGCGGUGAAUACGUUCCCGGGUCUUGUACACACCGCCCGUCACACCACGAGAGUUUACAACACCCGAAGUCGGUGAGGUAACCGCAAGGAGCCAGCCGCCGAAGGUGGGGUAGAUGAUUGGGGUGAAGUCGUAACAAGGUAGCCGUAUCGGAAGGUGCGGCUGGAUCACCUCCUUUCUAAGGA